rnacentral:rRNA from 1 species
AGGGUUAGUCGGUACCUAAGGCGAGGCCGAAAGGCGUAGUCGAUGGAUAGCACGUUAAUAUUCGUGCACCACUCCUGGUGAGUUUGAUGGACAGGGGUGACGGAGGCUGGAAGGUCAUCGGGGCGUUGAUUGUCCCCGUCGCUGGCCCGAGGUGCGCGGUAGGUAAAUCCGCCGCGAUAAUCCGGAGGUUGGCGCAGGACCAUUUGAGUCUGAAGUGAUCGGAAGGUCUUCCAAGAAAAACCUCGGUUCUAUUGCCAGGAGUGACCGUACUAAAACUGACACAGGUAGGCGAGGUGAGUAUCCUAAGGCGCUCGAGAGAACCUUCGUUAAGGAACUAGGCAAAAUGACUCCGUAACUUCGGGAGAAGGAGUGCCACGGUAGAGUGAUCCAGUUUCCUGGAGAGCUCGAAGUGGUCGCAGCGAAAAGGGUCUAGCGACUGUUUACUAAAAACACAGGACUGUGCUAAGACGCAAGUCGAUGUAUACAGUCUGACGCCUGCUCGGUGCCGGAAGGUUAAGGGGACGGGUUAUCCCUUCGGGGAGAAGCUCAGAACUGAAGCCCCGGUUAACGGCGGCCGUAACUAUGACGGUCCUAAGGUAGCGAAGUUCCUUGUCGGGUAAGUUCCGACCCGCACGAAUGGCGUAACGACUGGACCGGUGUCUCAACGAAGGACUCGGCGAAAUUGUAGUUGUGGUGCAGAUGCCACAUACCCGCGGCUAGACGGAAAGACCCCGUGAACCUUUACUAUAGCCUAUUAUUGGGUUUGGGUAAUGCAUGUGUAGGAUAGGUGGGAGGCGUUGAAGCGAGAUCGCCAGAUCUUGUGGAGCCAUCCUUGAAAUACCACCCUUGUAUUAUUUAAAUUCUAACCAGGUUCCGUGAAUCCGGGCUUGGAACAGUGGUAGGUGGGUAGUUUGGCUGGGGCGGUCUCCUCCCAAAGAGUAACGGAGGAGCCCAAAGGCUUCCUCAAUGCGGUUGGCAAUCGCAUGUAGAGCGCAAGGGUAAAAGGAAGCUUAACUGCGAGACCUAUAAGUCGAGCAGAUGUGAAAGCAGGGCCUAAUGAUCCGGCGUAUUCCGGGUGGAAGGGACGUCGCUCAUCAGAUAAAAGGUACUCCGGGGAUAACAGGCUGAUCUCCCCCAAGAGUUCAUAUCGACGGGGAGGUUUGGCACCUCGAUGUCGGCUCAUCGCAUCCUGGGGCUGUAGGAGGUCCCAAGGGUUUGGCUGUUCGCCAAUGAAAGCGGUACGCGAGCUGGGUUUAGACCGGCGUGAGCCAGGUCGGUCCCUAUCUACCGUGGGUGUAGGAUAUUUGAGCGGAUUUGAUCCUAGUACGAGAGGAUUGGAUCGGACGAACCUCUGGUGUUCCAGUUGUCCUGUCAAGGGCAUCGCUGGGUAGCUACGUUCGGAAAGGAUAAACGCUGAAAGCAUAUAAGCGUGAAGCCUCCCGCAAAACUAGAUAUCCCAUGAGGUACCUCGAAGACUACGAGGUUGAUAGGCCGGAAGUGUAAGUACAGUGAUGUAUUCAGCUGACCGGUACUAAUUUGCCGAUUGGCUUGACUGC